rnacentral:rRNA from 1 species
GAUGGACGCUAGCUACAGGCUUAACACAUGCAAGUCGAGGGGCAUCACAGUGUAGCAAUACACGGGUGGCGACCGGCGCACGGGUGCGUAACACGUAUCCAAUCUGCCCGUUACUCGGGGAUAGCCUUCUGAAAGGAAGAUUAAUACCCGAUGGCAUGUAUUUCCGGCAUCGGAGAUACAUUAAAGAUUUAUUGGUAACGGAUGAGGAUGCGUACGAUUAGCUAGUUGGCGGGGUAACGGCCCACCAAGGCGACGAUCAUUAGGGGUUCUGAGAGGAAGGUCCCCCACAUUGGAACUGAGACACGGUCCAAACUCCUACGGGAGGCAGCAGUGAGGAAUAUUGGUCAAUGGACGCAAGUCUGAACCAGCCAUGUCGCGUGAAGGAUGACUGUCCUAUGGAUUGUAAACUUCUUUUAUAUGGGGAUAAAGUGUGAGAUUUGUCUCAUUUUGCAUGUACCAUAUGAGUAAGCAUCGGCUAACUCCGUGCCAGCCGCCGCUGUAACAC